AGGAAUUUGAAGCUCAGAGAGAGUCAAUGAGUACUCUUGUUGUGAUUGCUUCAACAUUAUCCCAACUUCGCCAAAAGGAUCCAAGUUUAACCCCAGAACUCAUUGCAAAAGUAAUUGUUUCUACUGCUACAAAUGGUGCAACAUAAUUUAUCGACACUAGAAGUCUCAUCUAUCAUGGUUGACUAAAGGAUGGUACAGAAUACACAAACUCUACGAGUUUCUCCAAAUUUGUGAAGAAUCAUUGGAUUUAUGUCUUGGGCACAUUAAAAUUAGGUAGACUUUGGAAUAUAAUAUAAUAAUGAGUUUUGAUUUGAUUUUUGGACAUUAGUUUUAGUUGAUGUAAUUAAAGAUAAUAGCGUUUGUUUGGAUGACUAAUGUAGAUUUUGGAAUAUAAUAUAAUAUAUUUAUUUUGAUAUA